rnacentral:rRNA from 1 species
GAAGCAGGAGGGACCACCCUCCAAGGCUAAAUACUACCUAGUGACCGAUAGCGUAUAGUACCGUGAGGGAAAGGUGAAAAGAACCCCGGGAGGGGAGUGAAAUAGAACCUGAAACCCUGCACUUACAAGCUGUGGAAGCACAUUUCUUGUGUGACCGCGUACUUUUUGUAGAACGGGCCAACGAGUUACGUUAAGUAGCAAGGUUAAGCACUUAAGGUGCGGAGCCGUAGCGAAAGCGAGUUUUAACUGAGCGUUCAGUUACUUGACGUAGACCCGAAACCGGGCGACCUACCCAUGAGCAGGAUGAAGCGAAAGUAAAAUUUCGUGGAGGUCCGAACCACGAGCGUUGAAAAGCUCGGGGAUGACUUGUGGUAGCGGUGAAAUUCCAAUCGAGCCCGGAGAUAGCUGGUUCUCCCCGAAAUAGCUUUAGGGCUAGCCUCAAGGUGAGAGAUACGGGAGGUAGAGCACUGAAUGUCCUAGGGGGUAUUGCACCUACCGAAGACUAUCAAACUCCGAAUGCCCGUCAUCUUAUACUUGGGAGUCAGACUGUGGGUGAUAAGAUUCAUAGUCGAAAGGGCAACAGCCCCAGAUCGUCAGCUAAGGUCCCUAAAUGUAAGUUAAGUGGUAAAGGAUGUGGGAUUGCACAGACAACCAGGAUGUUGGCUUAGAAGCAGCCACUCAUUCAAAGAGUGCGUAAUAGCUCACUGGUCGAGUGAUCCUGCGCCGAAGAUUUCCGGGGCUAAAACUUACUACCGAAGCUACGGCAUCAGUAAUGAUGGGUAGGGGAGCUUCCCAUACGGGUUGAAGCAUGACCGUAAGGACAUGUGGACAGUAUGGGAGUGAGAAUGUUGGCAUGAGUAGCGAGAUGUGGGUGAGAAUCCCACAGGCCGUAAACCCAAGGUUUCCAGGGGAAGGUUCGUCCGCCCUGGGUUAGUCGGGACCUAAGCUGAGGCCGAAAGGCGUAGGUGAUGGACAACAGGUUGAUAUUCCUGUACUACCGAUAACCGUUUGAGAGAAGGGAUGACACAGUAGGAUAAGCUAAGCACACUGUUGGUUAUGUGUGCCCAAGCAUUGAGGCAGUCAAAGUAGGCAAAUCCGCUUUGAUAAUGCUGGGAUGUGAUGGGGAGCGAAAUUUAGUAGCGAAGUAGCUGAUUUCACACUGUCAAGAAAAGUCUCUAUCGAGGUUAAAGGUACCCGUACCGCAAACCGACACAGGUGGGUGAGGAGAGUAUCCUAAGGCCAGCGAGAGAACUGUUGUUAAGGAACUCGGCAAAAUGACCCCGUAACUUAGGGAUAAGGGGUGCCACCAUCAGGUGGCCGCAGAGAAUAGGCCCAAGCGACUGUUUACCAAAAACAUAGGUUUCUGCUAAGUCGCAAGACGAUGUAUAGGAGCUGACGCCUGCCCGGUGCUGGAAGGUUAAGGGGAUCUGUUAGAGCAAUCGAAGCAGUGAACUUAAGCCCCAGUAAACGGCGGCCGUAACUAUAACGGUCCUAAGGUAGCGAAAUUCCUUGUCGGGUAAGUUCCGACCCGCACGAAAGGCGUAACGAUUUGGGCACUGUCUCAACAACAGACUCGGUGAAAUUGUAAUUCCGGUGAAGAUGCCGGAUACCUGCGACAGGACGGAAAGACCCCAUGGAGCUUUACUGUAGCUUGACAUUGGGUCUUGGUACUACAUGUACAGGAUAGGUGGGAGGCUUUGAAACCAGGACGCCAGUUUUGGCGGAGCCAUCCUUGGGAUACCACCCUUGUAGUACUGGGACUCUAACCAUAGGCCAUGAAUCUGGUCUUGGGACACUGUCAGGUGGGCAGUUUGACUGGGGCGGUCGCCUCCCAAAAGGUAACGGAGGCGCUCAAAGGUUCUCUCAGUACGGUCGGAAAUCGUACGUAGAGUGUAAAGGCAAAAGAGAGCUUGAUUGCAAGACAUACAGGUCGAGCAAGGAUGAAAAUCGGACUUAGUGAUCCGGUGGUUCUGCGUGGAAGGGCCAUCGCUCAACGGAUAAAAGCUACCCUGGGGAUAACAGGCUUAUCUCCCCCAAGAGUCCACAUCGACGGGGAGGUUUGGCACCUCGAUGUCGGCUCAUCACAUCCUGGGGCUGUAGUAGGUCCCAAGGGUUGGGCUGUUCGCCCAUUAAAGUGGUACGCGAGCUGGGUUCAGAACGUCGUGAGACAGUUCGGUCCCUAUCCGUCGCAGGCGUAGGAAAUUUGAGAAGACCUGUCCUUAGUACGAGAGGACCGGGAUGGACGUACCUCUGGUGUACCAGUUGUUCUGCCAAGGGCAUGGCUGGGUAGCUAUGUACGGAAUGGAUAAGCGCUGAAAGCAUCUAAGCGCGAAGCCAACUUCAAGAUAAGAUUUCCCACCGCAAGGGUAAGACCCCAGAAAGACUAUCUGGUUGAUAGGUCGAAGGUGUAAGUGCAGCAAUGUAUUUAGCUUAUCGAUACUAAUAGGUCGAGGACUUGACCAAU